rnacentral:lncRNA from 1 species
CAGACCGCCGUGCUCAACCAGUCAAAGUUCACAAAGUUCACAGGUGGUGGAACAGAACCCACGGGUGGUGGAACAGAACCUAGCACAUGACUAACCUUAUUCUGAGAUCUUUCCCCUUUCACAAAAAAAAACUUCUACCAUUCUUCAACAGCUCACAAAUUUCAUUGACUAGAUCGCCAUACCUGGAAGCAUGAUGCUCCGUCUCUUGUCCUGCCACCAAGAC